AGUGAACGCUGGCGGUAGGCCUAACACAUGCAAGUCGAACGGCAGCACAGUAAGAGCUUGCUCUUACGGGUGGCGAGUGGCGGACGGGUGAGGAAUACAUCGGAAUCUACUUUUUCGUGGGGGAUAACGUAGGGAAACUUACGCUAAUACCGCAUACGACCUACGGGUGAAAGCAGGGGAUCUUCGGACCUUGCGCGAUUGAAUGAGCCGAUGUCGGAUUAGCUAGUUGGCGGGGUAAAGGCCCAUCAAGGGGACGAUCCGUAGCUGGUCUGAGAGGAUGAUCACCCACACUGGAACUGAGACACGGUCCAGACUCCUACGGGAGGCAGCAGUGGGGAAUAUUGGACAAUGGGCGCAAGCCUGAUCCAGCCAUACCGCGUGGGUGAAGAAGGCCUUCGGGUUGUAAAGCCCUUUUGUUGGGAAAGAAAAGCAGCAGGUUAAUACCCCGCUGUUCUGACGGUACCCAAAGAAUAAGCACCGGCUAACUUCGUG
rnacentral:rRNA from 1 species